GGAAGUCGUCUUUUGAACUGGCCCGGUUGAGAUCCCGGUAGUCGACAUAGACACUGACCUUCUCAUCCUUCUUUGGCACUGGCAUGAUAUUGGCUAACCAUGUUGGGUAUUACACUGCCCUGAUAACCUUAGAUUUGACUUGCUUAGUGACUUCUUCCUUGAUCUUCAAACUCAUAUCAGGCUUGGAAUUCCUGAGCUUUUGCUUUACUGAUGGAUGUGUUGGAUCGGUUGGCAGUUUAUGGGCCACAAUAGAUGUACUCAGACCAGUCAUGUCAUCAUACGACCAGGCAAAUAUGUGAUCAUAUUCCUUUAGAAAUUCUGUAUAUUCUUUCUUUU
rnacentral:lncRNA from 1 species